AUGUCACGGUUGAGUCCUCCAAGAAACCGUGCCAUAGUAGCUUUGCUAUCCUCAGAGAUACAAUCCCUCAACAUCAAUAACCCCAUCUCUUGAUAAUAUUCUUCCACUGUUUGUGAUCCUUGAGUAAUUCUUCUUAUCCUUUGAUGUAGCUCACGAUGAUAGUGGUUUGGGACAAAUCUUUGCGCAUAAGGGACUUCAUCUCAGCCCAUGUCUCAACCGGGAACUCAUGAUUGUGCCUCCUGUUUUUAAUCAACUGAUCCCGCCAACUCAAGGCGUAGUCAUAGAAUUCAGUAGCAGCAACUUUGAUCUUCUUAGCUUUUGUGUACUGCUGGCAAUUGAACACGAGCUCAAUCUUCUUUUCCCAUUCCAAGUAAGCAUUAGGGUCUGCUUUGCCAUGGAAAGGAAGUAUUUUGAGCUUUAAACCAGCAAGCUCAUCUCUUUGAUAACCUCGGUCUUCAUGGUCGCGCGUGUUGAGAUGAGAUCAAUAUAUGGGAAGAGAAAGACAUGAGGAGUUGAGUAUGAUGAAGAGGUCGUACAUGGCGUAGUAAUACUAGUUAUACUAGUUGUACUAGUUACCCGGGUAACUUUGGAUGAAGAAGAGAGCCCUAUUCCCUUUGCUAAGGCAUCAGACCAUUGCAAGGGAAGAGGAGGCACGUGUGAGAGGCUGGAGAAGAGCUGGAUAAAGCAAAAGGAGCUUUAUGCACAAGGAAGAAGCUCAUUGGAUGGUUUGAAUUAAAGGAAACCUUAUCUCUUGUAAUAGUGCCUCUUUAUGAAACCCUCAUCCUAAUGUUGCCUCCUCAUAUAUAUUUUAAACUCUGAUCAGAUUAAUAAUUAAGAAGUUUGGGAUUAU
rnacentral:lncRNA from 1 species